GGUCCGGGCGUUAUCCGGAUUUAUUGGGUUUAAAGGGAGCGUAGGCCGUUGUUUAAGCGUGUUGUGAAAUGUCCCGGCUCAACGUCUGCACUGCAGCGCGAACUGGUUUCCUUGAGUACGCACAAAGUGGGCGGAAUUCGUGGUGUAGCGGUGAAAUGCUUAGAUAUCACGAAGAACUCCGAUUGCGAAGGCAGCUCACUGGAGCGCAACUGACGCUGAAGCUCGAAAGUGCGGGUAUC
rnacentral:rRNA from 1 species